AUAGUACGGAUUCCAUAACAUUAAUCUUAGGCCUUCCGAUGAUGAUGUUAUAUAAUGACACGUUCACUAUCAGGUAUAUCACCUUGAUGCCUUUGGCGUUACUUCCACUUACAAAGACGGUCAUGAUGGGUAGGUGUCCCAAUAACUGGACUUGUUCCCUAGAGAAAUCGACCAGGGUUCCUUUGAAGGGUAGCAACUCAGAUGUAUCCACGUUCAUACCCUUGAAAGAAUCCCAAUAUAGUAUGUCGUCUGAGCUUCUCG
rnacentral:lncRNA from 1 species